rnacentral:rRNA from 1 species
GCAGUCGACGAAGUAGCAUACUUAGUGGCAGACGGGUGAGUAACAUGUGGGUAUCUACCCUUUGGCCUGGAAUAACACGAGGAAACUUGUGCUAAUACCGGAUAAGUCUUUACGGAGAAAGCUUUAUGCACCAUUGGAUGAGCCCGCACUUGAUUAGUUUGUUGGUAGGGUAAUGGCCUACCAAGACUAUGAUCAAUAGCUGAUUUGAGAGGAUGAUCAGCCACAUUGGGACUGAGACACGGCCCAAACUCCUACGGGAGGCAGCAGUGGGGAAUCUUGCACAAUGGAGGAAACUCUGAUGCAGCGAUGCCGCGUGAGUGAAGAAGGCCUUUGGGUUGUAAAGCUCUUUCGUCGGGGAAGAAAAUGACUGUACCCGAAUAAGAAGGUCCGGCUAACUUCGUGCCAGCCGCCGG